rnacentral:rRNA from 1 species
AUUGAACGCUGGCGGCAGGCCUAACACAUGCAAGUCGAGCGGAUGAAGGGAGCUUGCUCCUGGAUUCAGCGGCGGACGGGGGAGUAAUGCCUAGGAAUCUGCCUGGUAGUGGGGGAUAACGUCCGGAAACGGGCGCUAAUAUCGCAUACGUCCUGAGGGGGAAAGAGGGGGAUCUUCGGACCUCACGCUAUCAGAUGAGCCUAGGUCGGAUUAGCUAGUUGGUGGGGUAAAGGCCUACCAAGGCGACGAUCCGUAACUGGUCUGAGAGGAUGAUCAGUCACACUGGAACUGAGACACGGUCCAGACUCCUACGGGAGGCAGCAGUGGGGAAUAUUGGACAAUGGGCGAAAGCCUGAUCCAGCCAUGCCGCGUGUGUGAAGAAGGUCUUCGGAUUGUAAAGCACUUUAAGUUGGGAGGAAGGGCAGUAAGUUAAUACCUUGCUGUUUUGACGUUACCAACAGAAUAAGCACCGGCUAACUUCGUG